UACAGAGGGGGCAAGCGUUAUUCGGAAUUAUUGGGCGUAAAGGGCGCGUAGGCGGUCGUGCAAGUGGAAGGUGAAAUCCCUCGGCUCAACCGAGGAACUGCCUUCCAAACUGCAUGACUUGAGUCCGGGAGAGGUGAGUGGAAUUCCCAGUGUAGCGGUGAAAUGCGUAGAUAUUGGGAGGAACACCAGUGGCGAAGGCGGCUCACUGGACCGGAACUGACGCUGAGGCGCGAAAGCGUGGGGAGCAAACGGG
rnacentral:rRNA from 1 species